AUGGAGCGCACGGCGCACUCCCUGGUGAGCAAUGUUGGGCAGCUGAUGGCCAACGAGGUUUGGCUGCUCCGCGCCGUGGGCCGCGAGGUCGUUGAGCUAAGGGACGAGCUGGCCACCAUGAACGCCGUCCUCCGCAUGCAGUCCGAAGCGGAGGACGGCGCCGUGGACCACUUCGUCCGGGAGUGGAUGAAGCAGGUGCGCGAGCUCGCAUACGAUGCAGACGACUGCAUCGACCUCUAUUUACUCCGAAUCAAGCGCCGUCCGAGCGACGGCUUCCUCGUCCGGUCAAAGCGCCUGCUUGUGACCCUUUUUCCUCGGCGUCUCCUGGCCGGUAACAUCAGGGCCCUGCGCUCCCGAGCUGUCACCAUCGGUGAGCGCCAUGCUCGUUACAGCUCUAGCUGCCAGGCCCUACGCCCCUCGGCUCCGUUCGCUCAUGUGCCGGCAGUGUGGGUGGAGCCAGCGCAAGCACUUCGCCCUGCCGAUGCUGACGACCAUGAUCAGUUCGUCGGCAUCCAGGAGCAGGCUAAGAUCCUGGUGGCCAUGAUGGAGAAGGAAAAGGAUGACAAGCUUCAGGUUUUUUCCAUCGUGGGGUUUGGAGGGCUUGGUAAAACUACGCUCGCCAUGGAAGUUUGCCGGCAGCUGGAGACCAAGUUCGAUCGCCAAGCCCAAGUGUCCGUGUCUCAGGCGUUCGACGGCGGGAACGACCUGCGUGCGCUGCUGAAACGCGUGCUUGAGCAGAUUGCCACUGUCAAGUCAAGAAAUGAGAAAGUCAUCAUGGAAGAAGAGGAACAGGAUUCCGUGGGUAACAUUGACAGAAUGGAUGUGGAGGAGCUGACCAGCACGCUCAAGGAACAGCUCAAAGGCAAGAGGUACCUCAUUGUGAUCGAUGAUGUAUGGACAAUAGCAGCGUGGGCUACAAUACACUCCAAAAUGCCAAAAACCACAUACGGCAGCAGAAUCAUUGUGACCACUCGGAUAGAUAGUGUGGGGAAAGAAUGCAGUGGAGGUAGUGUAUGUAAAUACUACAGUAUCCAACGACUCAGCUUGGAAGACUCUAAGAAGUUGUUUGUGAGGAGAGCAUUUGGCCCCAAGAGUACCUCUUGCCCAGAGGAGCUCAAAGGUUCAAUGAACAAUAUUUUGAAAAAAUGCAAUGGACUGCCAUUAGCUAUUGUUAGCAUUGGAAGCCUUUUAGCAAGCUAUUCCUCUCCAGAGAGCAGCCACGUGAGGGAAACACUUUGUAGAUCAAUUGGUUCACAGAUGGAGACCAACCCAGCCCUUGUGGGGAUGAGGAAUAUCGUCACACUUAGCUUCAACUAUCUGCCUCAUGAACUCAAGCGUUGCAUGAUGUAUGUUAGCAUUUUCCCAGAGGAUUAUCAGAUCAGCGAGGAUAGGCUCUUGAGAAGAUGGAUUGCCGAAGGAUUGAUACCUGAGAAGAGGGGCCUUACUUUGAUGGAGACUGCAAAGGCCUACUUCAAUGAGCUAGUGAAUAGGAGUAUGAUUGACCAAGCCGGCUGUAUAGUCACCUACUAUAAUAGAGUGGAUUUGUGUCGGGUGCACGAUAUGAUGCUUGAAGUCAUGGUAUCUAAAUCAAUAGAGGCUAACUUCAUUAGCUUGGUAGGCAUUCAGUAUGAAGGGAUGUCAUAUGAUAUCGUUCGCCGCCUCUCCAUCAAUGAUGCAAAGCAGGGGGGGGGGGGAAUACUCCACAACAGAGAAAGACACAAUGGGGAGUGGAAUGGUGAAUGUUAUUGA
rnacentral:rRNA from 1 species